UACAGAGGGUGCAAGCGUUGUUCGGAAUCACUGGGCGUAAAGGGCGCGUAGGCGGCUCGCUAAGUCGAACGUGAAAUCCCCGAGCUCAACUCGGGAACUGCGUCCGAUACUGGUGGGCUUGAAUCCGGGAGAGGGAUGCGGAAUUCCAGGUGUAGCGGUGAAAUGCGUAGAUAUCUGGAGGAAUACCGGUGGCGAAGGCGGCAUCCUGGACCGAGAUUGACGCUGAUGAGCGAAAGCUAGGGGAGCAAACGGG
rnacentral:rRNA from 1 species